rnacentral:tRNA from 1 species
GGCCCGUUGGUCAAGCGGUUAAGACACCGCCCUUUCACGGCGGUAACAGGAGUUCGAGUCUCCUACGGGUCACCA